rnacentral:tRNA from 1 species
GCCUGGCUGGCUCAGUCGGUAGAGCAUGUGACUCUUGAUCUCAGGGUUGUGAGUUCGAGCUCCACGUUGGGAA